rnacentral:rRNA from 1 species
ACGACGCUGGCGGCGUGCUUAACACAUGCAAGUCGAACGGAAAGGCCCUGCUUUUGUGGGGUGCUCGAGUGGCGAACGGGUGAGUAACACGUGAGUAACCUGCCCUUGACUUUGGGAUAACUUCAGGAAACUGGGGCUAAUACCGGAUAGGAGCUCCUGCUGCAUGGUGGGGGUUGGAAAGUUUCGGCGGUUGGGGAUGGACUCGCGGCUUAUCAGCUUGUUGGUGGGGUAGUGGCUUACCAAGGCUUUGACGGGUAGCCGGCCUGAGAGGGUGACCGGCCACAUUGGGACUGAGAUACGGCCCAGACUCCUACGGGAGGCAGCAGUGGGGAAUAUUGCACAAUGGGCGGAAGCCUGAUGCAGCAACGCCGCGUGCGGGAUGACGGCCUUCGGGUUGUAAACCGCUUUCGCCUGUGACGAAGCGUGAGUGACGGUAAUGGGUAAAGAAGCACCGGCUAACUACGUG